UUCGGAGGCCUGUGAUUGGCAGGGAUUUUUUAUGUCAAGAUAAUCAUUAAAUUGCCUUUAUAUUUAAGAAAUAAAUAAGCAUUGUUGUCAUGUGGCUGCUAACUGCUGUCAGAUUUUCUGCUUUCUUUCAGUGCUUUAUGGCUCUAAAUAGAACCAGGGAAAUCUAAAGUCAGGCUGAAGUUGUCAGAAGAGCUGAAAUCCUGUUGAGGAAGCGACACGCUGUAAUCUCUGCAGGCCAGAUGUGAUCCAAAGAGGCGACUGAUGGCAUUAAAGACGCCAACAGGACUAGGAAGUGUGCCUUUUCAAACUCUGCAUUGUCUGCUUCGGCCCAUCAGUGCAACAGGAGGACUGACAGGAGGUCCGCACUCAAGUGCCGCGCUCGCAUUGAAGCUCCAUCCUCUCUGUGUCUCGACAGGAGGCCCAUGCAGUGCUGUCUGUGCCAGGCAGGCAGCCCGGCUGUGUCUAGCGGUUGGAGGCAUAACAGACAGAAUGAGCUGAUCGAGUCCUGGCCUCUUUUCCUCUGCGUUGCAGCUGGAGCACACCAGCUCAUCUUCAGCCCUGCUCAGACACUGCAAAACUGCUCUACACUACAACAUGG